AGAGUUUGAUCCUGGCUCAGGAUGAACGCUAGCGGUGUGCCUAACGCAUGCAAGUCGAACGAGAAACCUUGGACUCGUCUGAGGUGGAAAGUGGCGCACGGGUGAGUAACACGUAGGUGACCUGCCCCAGAGAGGGGGAUAACUAUUGGAAACGGUAGCUAAUACCCCAUAAGCUCACGGUUUUUAGAAAGCUGUGAGAAAAGCUCCGGCGCUCUGGGAGGGGCCUGCGGCCCAUCAGCUAGUUGGUAGGGUGACGGCCUACCAAGGCAAUGACGGGUAGGGGACCUGAGAGGGUGACCCCCCACACUGGCACUGAGACACGGGCCAGACUCCUGCGGGGGCAGCAGCGAGGAAUAUUGCCCAAUGGGCGAAAGCCUGAGGCAGCAACGCCGCGUGGGUGACGAAGGCCUUCGGGUCGUAAAACCCUUUUCUGGGGGAAUAGGAAGGAAGGUACCCCAGGAAUAAGAGUCGGCUAACUACGUGCCAGCAGCCGCGGUAAAACGUAGGACUCGAGCGUUAUCCGGAUUUACUGGGCGUAAAGCGCGUGUAGGCGGCUUGGUUAGUUGGAUGUUAAAGCUCCUGGCUUAACUAGGAGAGGCCAUUCAAUACUGCCAGGCUAGAGGACGGUAGAGGAGAGUAGAAUUCCAGGUGUAGUGGUGAAAUGCGUAGAUAUCUGGAAGAAUACCAGUGGCGAAGGCGGCUCUCUGGGCCGUUCCUGACGCUAAGACGCGAAAGCAUGGGUAGCGAACGGGAUUAGAAACCCCGGUAGUCCAUGCCGUAAACGAUGAAUACUGGGUGUUGGGGGUAUCAAUUCCCUCGGCGCCGAAGCUAACGCGUUAAGUAUUCCGCCUGGGGAUUACGAUCGCAAGGUUAAAACUCAAAGGAAUUGACGGGUCCCCGCACAAGCAGCGGAGCGUGUGGUUUAAUUCGAGUCUACACGAAGAACCUUACCUGGGCUUGACAUGACGGUAGUAGGGAUCCGAAAGGUGACCGACCCUUCGGGGAGCCGCCACAGGUGCUGCAUGGCUGUCGUCAGCUCGUGUCGUGAGAUGUUCGGUUAAGUCCGUUAACGAGCGCAACCCUCGCCGUUAGUUACAAGUGUCUAGCGGGACUGCCGUUAAAAAAGCGGAGGAAGGUGGGGAUGAUGUCAAGUCAGCAUGGCCUUUAUGUCCAGGGCUACACACACGCUACAAUGGCCGGUACAAUGGGUUGCCAAACCGCGAGGUGGAGCCAAUCCUCCAAAGCCGGUCUCAGUUCGGAUUGCAGGCUGCAACUCGCCUGCAUGAAGGUGGAGUUGCUAGUAACCGCAGGUCAGCUAUACUGCGGUGAAUACGUUCCCGGGGAUUGUACACACCGCCCGUCACGUCAUGGGAGCUGGUCACGCCUGAAGUCGAUGAGCUAACCUAACGGGGGCAAUCGCCUAAGGCAGGGCUGGUGACUGGGACGAAGUCGUAACAAGGUA
rnacentral:rRNA from 1 species